rnacentral:rRNA from 1 species
GGUAAGUUUAUGUUAAAAUAAGAAAAUUAGGAGUUUUAUUAUUGUGUAAGAAUAAAUUUUAUUAAUUUUAGUUUAUUAGUAUUGUGAGAGAAUUUAGUUUUAUGUUUGAAAGAAGAUUUAAUUUUUCGUACCUUGUGUAUCAGGGUUUACUUAAUAGAUAAUAUUUAUAUUAUUUUUCUCGAAUUCAGGGGAGCUAUUUUAAUAUGUAUUUUAUUGUGGAAUAAAUAUUUAAAAUUUUAGGAUUGAAAUUAUACGUUAUUCGUUUCUGAAUAUAUCUAGUUUUCUAAGAAAUAAAUUUAAUUUACUUGUUUGGGAUUAAUAUGUUGUGUUUUUAAUUUAUUAUUUUUUACAGGGAAUAUUAAAAGGGAUGAGCUUUUUAAUAAAGUUUUAUAAGUUAGGAUUUAGGUUUUCAUUAAAGUUAGGAUUAUUAGUUUUCAUUUUUAGGAGGAUGUUAUAUUUAAUUUUGGUUUUUAUAUUAUUUUUAUUUUCUUUAAGUUUUUUAUUGGAAUAUAUUUUUGAAUUUUCUAUGAAUAGAAAUAAUGGUAAAAUUAGUAUAAACUUGUGUAUUUUAUAUUUAUUACAUGAUAGAUUAGGUUAAGGAAUUCGGCAAAAGAUUUUCCGCCUGUUUAAUAAAAACAUGGCCUUUUGAUUAUAAUUUAAGGUCUAGCCUGCCCACUGAGAUUUAAAUGGCCGCGGUAUCCUGACCGUGCAAAGGUAGCAUAAUCAUUAGUUUUUUAAUUGGAAGCUGGUAUGAAUGGUUGGAUGAGAAAAUAGCUGUCUCUAUUUUAAUAUAUAAAAUUUUAUUUUUGAGUUAAAAAGCUCAAAUGAUUUUGAUAGACGAUAAGACCCUAUAGAGUUUAAUAUUAUUUUGUAUUUUUUUUUUUUAGGAUUUUCUUGCUUGAAAUAUAAAAUUUUAUUUAGUUGGGGAGAUUGAAAAAUUAAGUUAACUUUUUUUAUAUCUAUACACAUCUAAGUGACUAGUUGAUCCAUUUCAAUGUGAUUAUAAGAUAAAAUUACCUUAGGGAUAACAGCGUAAUCUUUCUAAAGAGUUCUUAUCGAAAGAAGGGUUUGCGACCUCGAUGUUGGAUUAAAAUUAAUUUUCGGUGCAGAAGCUUGAAUAUUAGGUCUGUUCGACCUUUAAAAUUUUACAUGAUCUGAGUUUAGACCGGCGUGAGCCAGGUUGGUUUCUAUCUUCAAUACGAGUAAAUAUUUUAGUACGAAAGGACCAAGUAUUUGAUAUUAUAUUUUUAUUAGACUAUU